AAGGGUCACAAGGGCACAGGAUACAAUCACAAUCCUGAUGAGAAGAGAACUAGGGGGGAUGCUGAUAAAAUGUACAUACAAUCUGUGGUUUCUGAGAUACAUCAAAUAGACUUAUCUGUAGCUUCAAAAGAAAAUCAUUCGGCUGGGGAACGAUCAACGUCUCAGUGGCAGCCUAAAUCUCAGCCAAUUUCAGCCACUAGUCAACGAGGAAGCCGGAUCACUAGUAGCUUGAAUGAAGGCAGUGAAGGUGGUAGGGCUAUUAAGGAGUCUACUCAGCAUGGGGAGCCACUUUUACCUCAGCCAGAUAAGGAUGCUGCUGCAGUUAGGCCUCAGUCUCACCAU
rnacentral:misc_RNA from 1 species